AGGAUGAACGCUGGCGGCGUGCCUAAUACAUGCAAGUCGAACGAGGUGCUUUUGUAGCAAUACGAGAGUAUCCUAGUGGCGAACGGGUGAGUAACGCGUUGGUGACCUACCCCAAAGUGUGGGAUAACAGUCCGAAAGGAUUGCUAAUACCGCAUGUGGUUAUUGGAUUUAGAAACCGGUAACUAAAGGAGCAAUUCGCUUUGGGAGGGACCUGCGUCCCAUCAGCUAGUUGGUGAGGUAAUGGCUCACCAAGGCUACGACGGGUAGGGGACCUGAGAGGGUGACCCCCCACAAUGGAACUGAAACACGGUCCAUACACCUACGGGUGGCAGCAGUAGGGAAUAUUGCACAAUGGGCGAAAGCCUGAUGCAGCAACGCCGCGUGUGUGAUGAAGGCCUUCGGGUCGUAAAGCACUUUUCUGGGAGAUGAGAAAGGACAGUAUCCCAGGAAUAAGUCUCGGACUAACUACGUGCCAGCAGCCGC
rnacentral:rRNA from 1 species